CCUCGGGGAGGCAGCAGUGGGGAAUCUUGCACAAUGGAGGGAAACUUUGGAUGCAGCGAUGCCGCGUGAGUGAAGAAGGCCUUUGGGUUGUAAAGCUCUUUCGUCGGGGAAGAAAAUGACUGUACCCGAAUAAGAAGGUCCGGCUAACUUCGUGCCAGCAGCCGCGGUAAUACGAAGGGACUUAGCGUAGUUCGGAAUUACUGGGCUUAAAGAGUUCGUAGGUGGUUGAAAAAGUUGGUGGUGAAAUCCCAGAGCUUAACUCUGGAACUGCCAUCAAAACUUUUCAGCUAGAGUAUGAUAGAGGAAAGCAGAAUUUCUAGUGUAGAGGUGAAAUUCNUAGAUAUUAGAAAGAAUACCAAUUGCGAAGGCAGCUUUCUGGAUCA
rnacentral:rRNA from 1 species